GGCUCAGGACGAACGCUGGCGGCGUGCUUAACACAUGCAAGUCGAACGAUGAAGCCCAGCUUGCUGGGUGGAUUAGUGGCGAACGGGUGAGUAAUACGUGAGUAACCUGCCUUUAACUCUGGGAUAAGCCUUGGAAACGGGGUCUAAUACCGGAUACGACCAGUUCCCGCAUGGGAUGCUGGUGGAAAGGGAUUUUGUACUGGUUUUAGAUGGGCUCACGGCCUAUCAGCUUGUUGGUGAGGUAACGGCUCACCAAGGCGACGACGGGUAGCCGGCCUGAGAGGGUGACCGGCCACACUGGGACUGAGACACGGCCCAGACUCCUACGGGAGGCAGCAGUGGGGAAUAUUGCACAAUGGGCGCAAGCCUGAUGCAGCGACGCCGCGUGAGGGAUGAAUGCCUUCGGGUUGUAAACCUCUUUCAGCAGGGAAGAAGCGAAAG
rnacentral:rRNA from 1 species